rfam:Firmicutes bacterium CAG:129 genomic scaffold, scf163
ACAGGUCUUCGAGGCGGGGUGAAAUUCCCCACCGGCGGUAUAGUCCGCAAGCGGCAAUUUUGCCGCACGAUCCGGUGCGAUUCCGGAACCGACGGUCACAGUCCGGAUGAGAGAAGAUGUGC